rnacentral:rRNA from 1 species
UACGUAGGGUGCGAGCGUUGUCCGGAAUUAUUGGGCGUAAAGAGCUCGUAGGCGGUUUGUCACGUCUGCUGUGAAAACUGGAGGCUCAACCUCCAGCCUGCAGUGGGUACGGGCAGACUAGAGUGCGGUAGGGGAGAUUGGAAUUCCUGGUGUAGCGGUGGAAUGCGCAGAUAUCAGGAGGAACACCGAUGGCGAAGGCAGAUCUCUGGGCCGUAACUGACGCUGAGGAGCGAAAGCAUGGGGAGCGAACAGG